rnacentral:rRNA from 1 species
GACGAACCGUGCGAACGUUGUUCGGAAUCACUGGGCUUAAAGGGCGCGUAGGCGGGCGAUCAAGUCAGGGGUGAAAUCCGUCGGCUUAACCGGCGAAGAGCUUUUGAUACUGGUCGUCUCGAGGGAGGUAGGGGCAUACGGAACUUCCGGUGGAGCGGUGAAGUGCGUAGAGAUCGGAAGGAACGCCGGUGGCGAAAGCGGUGUGCUGGACCUCUUCUGACGCUGAGGCGCGAAAGCCAGGGGAGCAAACGGG